rnacentral:rRNA from 1 species
CGGACGGGUGAGUAACGCGUGGAUAACCUGCCUCACACUGGGGGAUAACAGUUAGAAAUGGCUGCUAAUACCGCAUAAGCGCACAGUACCGCAUGGUACGGUGUGAAAAACCCAGGUGGCGUGAGAUGGAUCCGCGUCUGAUUAGCCAGUUGGCGGGGUAACGGCCCACCAAAGCGACGAUCAGUAGCCGACCUGAGAGGGUGACCGGCCACAUUGGGACUGAGACACGGCCCAA